UUUUUUUUUUUUUUUUUUUUUUAAUGGCCACAUCCUCAGCAUAUGGAAACUGCCGAGCCAGGGACUGAAUCUGAGCCCCAGCUGUGGCAAUGCCAGGUCCUUUAACCCACUGCACAGAACCAGGGAUUGAACCUGCACCUCUGCAGCAGCUGCAGUCGGAUUCUUAACCCAUUGUGCCACAGUGGGAACUCUCUGAAUGUUUUUUACAAGCACGUAUUUAAGUAUUACUUGGCAAUCUAAAAUUCAGUUAGUUUUAAUUUUUUUUACUGUUUAUAAACUACUUUCAUCUUUUCCCUUCUCACGCUUUCCUCAACACCUUCCUUUUACCUUCUUCCCCAUUCCCAGCAUCCUAAAUAAUACCGCACAUUUCCUCUUUUCAACAAACUUAGUUUUAUUUACGUCCACAUCUUUUUCCUUUUUUUCCUUCCACAUCCUUUUUCUGAUUGAGAAGACAGUGAACUGAUUAAACCCAAAUUUCCAGGAACCAGUGGCCUUCUCAUUUUGGUGAUAAUUAAGGAUACUGCCAAAUUCUAAUCUUGGGUGUUGCGGGAUCUUACACAUUUUUUUUUAAACUAGAGUACCUACUCUUCAAAAAAAGACAAUUAAUGUCAACGGACUACCUAUCAUGUAAUAAAUCACAAUUAAGCAUGAAAAACGAAGAAAACUUUAGUAUACUCAAGAGUCAACUCUAGGGGUACUUAAGAAUCAACAAGGGGUGCCAACUGAACAUGAUCACUUCCCAACCUCAUCCCUCAAACUCUCUGAAUUAGCAGAAGUGGAAGGAGGCCCCAGAACCAGAAUUUAUAAUAAUCAUCUCCCUCUCCCAAGGGACUUUUUUUUCUUUUUAUGGCUGCACCCGCAGCACAUGAAGUUCCCAGGCGAGGGGCUGAACUGGAGCCACAGUUACAGGCCCACAGCCAUGGCCACAGGAGCACCGGAUCCUGGCCCCAUCUGUGACCUACACCGCAGCUUGUGGCAACCCCAGAUACUUACCUCACUGAGUGGGGCCAAGGAUGAAACCCACAUCCUCACAGAGACAAUGUCAGGUCCUUAACCCACUGAGCCACAACAGGAACUCCCCCAAGUGAUUCUGAUACAGACAGGCCUUGGAUCGUGUUUUGAGAGACAGGUCAUAGCUGUUUCCUAAGAACUACUUUUUUUUUUUUUGUGGCUACACCUGCAGCAAGUGAACAUUCCCAGGCCAGCGAUGGAACCUAUGCCACAGCAGCAACCUGAACCACUGCAGUGACAACACCAAAUCCUUAACUCACUGCACCACAAGAAAAUUCCCCUCAGCACUAAUUACAUACAGUAAAAUGAAAAGUGUUUUUUUAAUACCACUUAUAUGUGGAAUCUAAUUUUUUAAAUGAUAAAAAGAACUUAUUUACAAAACAGAAAGAAACUCACAGAUUUCAAAAGUAAACUUACAGUUACCAAAGGGAAGUCACGUGUGUUGGGGGGACUGGGGGUAAAUUAGGAGAAUGGGAAUGACAUAUACACACUACUGUAUAUAAAAUAGACAAGGACCAGGAGUUCCCAUCGUGGCUCAGUGGUUAACAAAUCCGACUAGGAACCAUGAGGAACUCCCCAACUGCCAUUUUCUAUACAAAACUAUUUCUUCAUUUUUUUUUCCCCCUGAUCUGCUAAUACAGAAGGGCAGAGGAAAAGGCCCUUGUCAUCAAAUUCCAUCACCUAAACUCUAGUAGCUUCCUAAUGAAGCGACUUGGUAAGCUCAUGUCCUAUUCCCCAGUAGCCACCCUCUCGGAACAAGGAUUCUAUAAUUCAGCUUUGAAGAUUUCCUUAAUUCAUGAGUUUUAUUUACUGUAUACCUCUGGAUACAUUCUCAUCCGCUCUCUCCUCCCGCCCCUUCUCUUUCUGUCUCUACCUCCUCAUACUCAUGCUCUGCUAAAUUUUCACCCCAGUUUCCACUGAAGAUGCCACGAGAUUCAGUUACCUUCAUUCAGGUGCCCAAGUCUAGUGGGGCCUUUGUUGACACGUGUUUCAUCUUGAUGGGUGACUUCUAGCCAAGCAGAUAAGAUUCCCUGUGCACCUGAAGUUAAUCUUCAAACUGGUUUCCCAGGCUAUGGAAAUAAAAGGACAAGACUGCACAGCUUGAACAUCCCAUCAAGGUAAUCAAAGUAAUGGAAGAGGGGAGAGAAGACGGAAGGAAUGAUUUCAAAAUAAAAACUGGGCUGUGCAUUUCAGAAGCACUUAAGAAAACACUCCAUCUGACUAAGCAGCUGAUGAAGAGACAAAUACCCAGAGGACUACGCCGUCCCUAAAGAUUCCUGUGCUCACAGUUUGUGCUUCCCUCCAGGUUCUGCAGGAGAUCACAUUAUAAAAUCAGACCUGCAUUAUUUAUAAUAAAGUGGAUAGACCCUAACACCCAGAAUUCUACUGGUGUACUUGCAAAUAAAGCCACAACCUGAUUUCAAGCCAAACCCAUGUAAUAAGGAAUAAAAUACAUAUUGUUCAGGUCUUUCAAAGGUUUCUCUUGUCCCUUUUACAAGACAACAAAAAAGGUUAGAGAAAGGAACCCAAAGCUUCGUCAUAGGUAUUCAGCACUUGAAGAAUCACAGGGGAAAAUGCCCAUAAUAUAUUAGGCACUGGGAAAAAAAGCGGGGGUGGGAGGCAGUACAAAAUAGCAGGUGGGGAAUACACACCCAAUACAUACAUAGAUACACAGCAAGAUACAAAACACAUAUAGUUAAAGUCUAGAACCAUUUAAUAGUAGGUACUUGUGGUAGGGAUGGACACUUACUUUCUGCUUUACGCAUACACUUUUGGCUAUUUUAGCAUUUUUUUUUAAUGUGCAGUGUGAGCUAAUUAGCAUUACCAAAAAUAAAGCACCCAAGAUCAUGUGGACGAAUAAAAUGAAACAAAACUACUUGAACACAUUGUUAGGGCCAUUCUGUGCCAAAUGUUCAAAACAUUCAAGGCUACAUUCAUUGCAGCAAAUUUACAGAGAAUUAACCAGAAUUCCUGGUGUUGGGACAACACCGUUCCUUCAUCAUCACUGGCAGUACCGAGCCACAAACAGGGCUGUGCUAGGUCCUACCAGGCAAAGGGGAAGGUGAGUGUUGGGCUCACAGUCCUUGCUUCCCCCAAGGUUAGCCCUGGUCAGACUCCCCUCUCUCAAGGACACCACAGCAGGGGAUUUAAAAAAACAGGUCAACAGGAGUUCCCUCAUGGCUCAGCAGGUUAAGGAUCCAGUGCUGUCACUGCUAUGGCCUGGGUCACUACUGUGGUGCGAGUUCAAUCCCUGGCCUGGGAACUUCCACAUGCUGUAGGGGCACCUCCCUGCCCCCCCAGCCCUCACACACAAAGAAGAAGGUCAAUAGGCCCCUGAGCACUGCCCGGAGGCAGAGCCACAUGGAGGGCUAAACACCCACAACUCACAAAUCUUUGCUCUUUGUCAAAUCAGUUUUACAAGCACAUCUGAGGAACUUAAAACCCAGAUACACUACUUAUUAAAAAAGUUAAAACUAAAAAUGGGGACAACACCAAAUGCCGGCACGGAUGCAGAGAAAGUGGAUCUCACACAUUGCUGGUGGGACAGACUCUUGGGAAUACAGUGUGGUACUUUGUUUAAGAGACUAAAGAUACCCUUGCUCCAAGACUCAGCAAUUCAACAUUUCUGGGCACUUAACCCAGAACUUAAAACUGUGUCCACACAAACAUCUAAUACAUAAAUGGUCAUCAUGGCUUUAUCUGUAACAGCCCCCAACUGGAAACAACCAAUAAUAGGUGAAUGGUUAAAAAAACAUGGUACAUCCAUACUGCACUACUUAUGCAAUUUAGCAAUACAAAGGAAUGGGCCAUCCUGAAUACAACUUGGAUGGACGGCUACUUCCAAGGGAAAAAUGCCAACCUCAGAAGGCCACGUAUUGUUAUAAUUCCAUUUCCCUAACGUUUCAGAACUGACAAAAUUAUAGCAAGAGAGAAGAGAACGGGGUUGUUGGGGGAGAAAGAUGUAUGUGAUCACAAAUGAGUAUUAUUCAUUCUAUUGUCCCACCACUAAGGCGAACUUAGGAAGGUGAACAGUUUGUAACGCAAAGCACAUUUCAUAAUAUUCAGCCAUCCCUACUAUGUCAGAAAUUAAAAAAAAAAAAAAAAAAAAGAUUCUUUAAGCAUGGGUCAGUUGCUGACUUAGCCACCGGAAAUAUAUUUCAGGCAUUACCUGUGCCUCAUUCCUCCCAGUAUUUUUAUCUGAGCUUUCCCAGGCCCACGAGCAAUAAGCCAGAG
rnacentral:lncRNA from 1 species